GACGAACGCUGGCGGCGUGCUUAACACAUGCAAGUCGAACGGAAAGGCCCUGCUUUUGUGGGGUGCUCGAGUGGCGAACGGGUGAGUAACACGUGAGUAACCUGCCCUUGACUUUGGGAUAACUUCGGGAAACUGGGGCUAAUACCGGAUAGGAGCUCCUGCUGCAUGGUGGGGGUUGGAAAGUUUCGGCGGUUGGGGAUGGACUCGCGGCUUAUCAGCUUGUUGGUGGGGUAGUGGCUUACCAAGGCUUUGACGGGUAGCCGGCCUGAGAGGGUGACCGGCCACAUUGGGACUGAGAUACGGCCCAGACUCCUACGGGAGGCAGCAGUGGGGAAUAUUGCGCAAUGGGCGGAAGCCUGAUGCAGCAACGCCGCGUGCGGGAUGACGGCCUUCGGGUUGUAAACCGCUUUCGCAUGUGACAAAGCGUGAGUGACGGUAAUGGGUAAAGAAGCACCGGCUAACUACGUG
rnacentral:rRNA from 1 species